ACGCGUAGCUCUCAGUGGGAACCAAUCGCUUUCGUCGACGGUUUUGCCUUCAUGGGGGCAUUUUGGAGGGGCGCGCGAGGGAAGCGGGCGUUGGAAGUUGCUCCGGCGGCUGACUGAGUAGUAGGCUUGACAGGAAGGCGGGAGAGCGCGUGGAAAAAAGAGCCAUGAAGUUUGUUAUCCCAAGAAUUUGGCAGGAACCAACUGACCACUCGAGCAACUGCUACUUCGGCGUGGUAGACCCUUCCAAACAUUGAACUGGGAAGAGCGCCCCUCCUAUCAUGUAUCCAGACAUUUCUUCAUUCAUUGCCCCAGUACCACACUGCCCUGAGCUUCCCAUUCCCACCCCUCCAGAAAUGGAUCAGCCAUGUUCAGGAGUGAGAAGCAAGUCAAACCAGCAAGGAAGGUAUUGCAGAUACAGAUUACAAUUCCACAGAUGUGGCUGAGGAGAAAAAGCCAUACUUCUCCAAUCAGAAAGACCUCAGCAAUCUGAUCAGAGACCUUUAUCUUACAAAGUCCAAAGCUGAGCUUCUGACAUCCAAGCUUAAGGAGUGGAACUUAAGGAUGCUUAAGCUUAAGGAUGGAAGUGUGCAAGUCACAGGUCAGAGAAAGCAUAUAAUUUAAUAAUGGAUCACACAAGGAUCAUGUGUAUAUGGUUCGUUCCUUGUUAUCACAUCCAUAGCAUGACAUCAAUCAUCUAAGAUUUUUACACUGCUCCUCUUAAGAUAAAAUCUAAUACAGCAAUAGGUAAUCUGAUGCCUGCCCUCCAGGUGCUUAGAGUUCAGUUUACCUUUCCUCCAACUAGUCGUGUUCUCUUGAUUAAUGACACACCAAUACAUCACAAAAAUGUAAAUUGAACUGUGAUUCCACAUGUUCAUAUGCACCACCAAUCCCUUUCCUUUUUUAUUUGACAAAGACCAAAAUUAAUGCAAGAUAAAUUAAUAAUUUGGAUAAUGAAGUACAGCAUGAGCCAUGAUCAAAAAUAAAAGGAUUAUUUUUCAAAAAAGUUUAAAAUAUCUCUAAAAUAUACAGCUACUUUCCACAUUACUGGAACUAUUAAAUUAUCAAAUACUGGAAUGUUUAUAUUUUAAUUCAAUGGAGACUAACAUUUUAAGUCACUGAAGUGUAAUAAGUAGCCAUAAAUGAAUAACUAUAAUACAAAUAUCAAUUAUUGUAACUUAAUCUUAUGACAGUUGUUUUCAAAUUCUCUCCUGAAACUCUAGAAUCUAGAUAAAACAAAACUACUCUUGACAAAUAGCAGCAAAUUCUGUGAUUGAACAGAAUUUGACCACUCCCUCAAAUUCAUUACUGAAUUAUCUCAAAAGGGUAGUGGAAUAUAAGAUUGGCAGCUGCUUUGCUAUGAUUGGUUAUUAAGUGUUUAUGCAAAUUUGAAUAAAAGGAGCAGUUAAG